rnacentral:rRNA from 1 species
AGAGUUUGAUCCUGGCUCAGGAUGAACGCUAGCGGCAGGCUUAACACAUGCAAGUCGAGGGGUAUAGUAGCAAUACUAGAGACCGGCGCACGGGUGCGUAACGCGUAUGCAAUCUACCUUUUGCAGGGGAAUAGCCCAGAGAAAUUUGGAUUAAUGCCCCAUAGUAUAUAGACCUUGCAUGAGGAUUAUAUUAAAGUCACAACGGCAAAAGAUGAGCAUGCGUCCCAUUAGCUAGUUGGUAAGGUAACGGCUUACCAAGGCUACGAUGGGUAGGGGUCCUGAGAGGGAGAACCCCCACACUGGUACUGAGACACGGACCAGACUCCUACGGGAGGCAGCAGUGAGGAAUAUUGGACAAUGGGCGCAAGCCUGAUCCAGCCAUGCCGCGUGCAGGAUGAAGCAUCUAUGGUGUGUAAACUGCUUUUGUACGAGAAGAAACACUCCAACGUGUUGGAGCUUGACGGUAUCGUAAGAAUAAGGAUCGGCUAACUCCGUGCCAGCAGCCGCGGUAAUACGGAGGAUCCAAGCGUUAUCCGGAAUCAUUGGGUUUAAAGGGUCCGUAGGCGGGCCAGUAAGUCAGUGGUGAAAUCUCUCGGCUNCACCGGGAAAUGGCCAUUGAUACUGCUGGUCUUGAAUUAUUAG